UAGCGGAGGAAAAGAAACUAACAAGGAUUCCCCUAGUAGCGGCGAGCGAAGCGGGAAGAGCUCAAAUUUAUAAUCUGGCACUUUCAGUGUCCGAGUUGUAAUCUCUAGAAGUGUUUUCCGCGUUGGACCGCACACAAGUCUGUUGGAAUACAGCGGCACAGUGGUGACACCCCCGUACACGGUGCGGACGCCCAGCGCUUUGUGAUACACUUUCGAAGAGUCGAGUUGUUUGGGAAUGCAGCUCAAAUUGGGUGGUAAAUUCCAUCUAAAGCUAAAUAUUGGCGAGAGACCGAUAGCGAACAAGUACCGUGAGGGAAAGAUGAAAAGCACUUUGGAAAGAGAGUUAACAGUACGUGAAAUUGUUGGAAGGGAAACGCUUGAAGUCAGACUUGCUUGCCGGAGCUUGCUUCGGUUUGCAGGCCAGCAUCAGUUUUCCGGGGUGGAUAAUGGCGGUUAGAAGGUAGCAGCUUCAGCUGUGUUAUAGCUUUCCGCUGGAUACAUCUUGGGGGACUGAGGAACGCAGCGUGCUUUUAGCGGGGGUUUCGACCUCUUCACGCUUAGGAUGCUGGUGUAAUGGCUUUAAACGACCCGUCUUAA
rnacentral:rRNA from 1 species